rnacentral:rRNA from 1 species
ACCAGCGGAGGGAUCAUUACUGAGUUUACGCUCUAUAACCCUUUGUGAACAUACCUAUAACUGUUGCUUCGGCGGGUAGGGUCUCCGUGACCCUCCCGGCCUCCCGCCCCCGGGCGGGUCGGCGCCCGCCGGAGGAUAACCAAACUCUGAUUUAACGACGUUUCUUCUGAGUGGUACAAGCAAAUAAUCAAAACUUUUAACAACGGAUCUCUUGGUUCUGGCAUCGAUGAAGAACGCAGCGAAAUGCGAUAAGUAAUGUGAAUUGCAGAAUUCAGUGAAUCAUCGAAUCUUUGAACGCACAUUGCGCCCGCCAGCAUUCUGGCGGGCAUGCCUGUUCGAGCGUCAUUUCAACCCUCAAGCUCUGCUUGGUGUUGGGGCCCUACAGCUGAUGUAGGCCCUCAAAGGUAGUGGCGGACCCUCCCGGAGCCUCCUUUGCGUAGUAACUUUACGUCUCGCACUGGGAUCCGGAGGGACUCUUGCCGUAAAACCCCCAAUUUUCCAAAGGUUGACCUCGGAUCAGGUAGGAAUACCCGCUGAACUUAAGCAUAUCAAUAAGCGG